rnacentral:sRNA from 1 species
CUUCAUUCACCUUGGAACACUGGCUACAGAGCUUUGAGCCUCUGAUUUUCUUAAGUUUCUCUGAGGUAGGAGUUUUUGGAGAAGAUUUCUUGGUCAGCUUUGGUUGAAUUUGCUUAGUCAUCCUCACAGUUACACUGGUCACCUUGACACUUUUUUUUGGACCUCAAUUGAUAGCAGGUCUUCAUAUUUUCCUCCUGGAUAUCUGGAGUCGACUGUUCCCAAACAUUUGUAGAGCCUUGUGGCUUCUCAGUCAUCUUAUUCAUUUAGAAGACUCCCAGUUGUCUGCUCCAGAGGGCCUGAGCACCCCUAUAUACACCCCUCCAUAGGGGGCCAGGUCUCACGAAUUCCGCU